AUUGGAUGCCCUCUUCUGACGACAGCUACAGUGAACUUAUAUAUAAUAAUAAAUAUAUAUAAAAAAGCCAGCAAGCCUGUGGCCACAUCACCCCCAUGGCUGGUCCCUCUGCUUCCCUACCUUCCUAAGACAGUAAGAGCAGUCUCCAGCCUUCACUAAAAGGCUGUCCUAGCUCAGCUACGGGCCAGACCCUACAGUCUACUCCUGCCCAGUGACACAGCUGUCAGGAAUGUGACAUGGAACUAUGUUCACCUCACAGUGCUGGUCAAUACUAGCUACCUAUGGGCUGGAUAUUACAUUCCCUAUGUGUUAUACCAAGUAGGGAGCCCAUAUCCUUCAAACCCUAUGAGGCUGGAAAUUCAGUCUAACUCUUUACAGUGGUGUGGCCUUCAUUUGUUUUCAAAGGACAACCAAUGAGUUUCAUGCCAGCUGACUGAGACGAUACAGCUGGUGUAGAUUCUAAAAUGCCCAAAAUCUCACACAUCAGUCACUGUCAGUAGGUGUCUGUCACUGCCUGACUCACGGCAGAAUGGCUGUCAGCCACUCGGGAGAAAGUUCUGAAAGUGACAGUGAGAUGUGCCUUUCAGGAAUGACACCCACACCACAGCAAAGGAUGCUGACUCUACUUGGGAAAAUACGAAGAAGGGCUACUCUGGAUCAGAAGAGUAAUUCAGAAUGCAGGCCCACAGUCAAGUCCUUCUAGGCACUCUCUCCUCCUUCUCAUGGUGCCUCUUCAAGCCAGGCCCAGUGAACCGCAGCUAUCAAGCUCAGGGGUCAGGAGGCUGAGGCAGGAGGAAUGCCUCGGGUCCGCACUACACAUCGAAUUGCUAAACCUCCCGUUUGGGAAGAGAGCACAACAGAAAAAGAUAAUAGUCCCAUGGCCAGUCCUGGCCUUGCUCUGAGCUGUCCUUUCUGCAAACAGGGGCAAGUGGCUGCCCUGUCUCAUCUAUGCAGUGCCCACCCCACCCCUGGCCCCACAGUAGAUAUUGAGUCUCUCCGCUGACUACUAAGCCAAGAAGUGGGACCCUGUCUUCUACUGUUGAGGAAGACACUGAGUGGGGUUGGAGGAGUGUGGAUUAGUACUUCCAAGAGGGAAGGCUUCCCCAGAACCAACAGACCAAGCUCAUCAAAUCCACCAGGAGAACAGGCCCUCGGGCAACUAUAUUAGAAGCAAGAUUCAGGCCAGCAAGACAAAGUAGCCUGAACCAUCAUCCGUCUCACAGGGUGCUAAAGAAGAGCCCUCACAAACAGCGUCCACAUGGGUCACAUGGAGAGGGCUACUACAAACAUGUUAAAGACAGAGGACUGACUGGACAUCUUCCCAGCAAGAGACAGAAAGUAAGUGUAACACGCUGCUGCGUUGGCAGACCUGGACCCAAAGCAACAGCAGCCAUCCCUGUCUACCCCCAUCAUGAACCCACAAGCAGCAGUAGACAGAGCAGUCUGGGUAAGUCCAUGGGUACGAAACCUCAGAAGAUCUGAGAAAUCCCUUGAGGCCAGAGUGGGGGGGCUCAGCCUCACCUGAGUCCACCAAAGGAGUCUAAGUGCUUAGUAUCUUUUAGGUCUUGGGUCUGCUAACUGCUCAAACUCUGACCUAUCCAUCCUUCCAAAGUAGUGAGACAGGGUAGACUAUCUUAUACUCUUCAGAGCACACAUGGCUACCAGUGCCUCCUGGUCAGUCAGCCUAGGACAAAAUCUCUAACAACAAACUAUAAAGAGGUUGUUGUCAUGUUAACAGAAAGUUAAAGGUUAUCUUGUUUCCUAGUCAUUUAGGAAUCUGAUUUCCUUAACUUUGCUUUUGCUCACUUGGUUUUGUUCUUGUUUUAUAGUUUGGUUUGGGGGCUGAGGGUGGAGAUGGGGUUGCUAUACAUACUUCUCGUGGUCCUGGACCUCACUAUGUAGAGCAGGCUAGCCUUGAACUUGAACUCAGAAAUCCACCUGCCUAUACACCACACUCCGCACACUUGUAGUUUUAAGCCAUAAGUAUGCUGCUGUAAGCAGGCAGGGUUCAGAACACAAGGCACUCAUACACACCCCAUUGUAGUUUCUUCAACAUGGCACCUGCAACUUUGCUACCAAACACCAGGACUUUCUCUCACUUGCUAACAUCAACCCAGGGAAAGAAGUGUGAGGACAGCCCACACCCAUGCAAUGUCUCUAACUGCAGCACUUCCGGUAAACAAUGUCGUAUGCAGUGCAAACGGAAGAGCCGUGCCUGGGCCCACGAAGGCACACCAUGGCGAGCCCACCAGUCCUGCCAUCCUGUGGGGCCAUUCUCAGGCUGCCCCUGGGAAUGGUACAAGACGAGAAACAUACAUGACUACAGUCUCUCCUGUGGCCUCAAUCUUAUCAUUUCCUACCUGUUCUCCAUCAUAUCCGUGUGGGAGAAGAGACACUGAACUGCCUCCAUGUAGUCUUUUCUCAUGGAACAGCAGGAACCAAAUAAAGCAAUCUCGACCCUU